CAAAGUGUUAAAAAAGUCAUCAACAACAAAAUUGUAUAACUCAUCAAGAUCUAAAACUUUUAUUUUUGUCAUUUCUUCAUCCGACAAAGUGUUAGUAUCAUUGUUCACGAAUUUUACAUAUAUGUGUUAUAGUUUAUAUAACCAGAGAUACGUCAAUUUUGUGAACAAUGUUACUAUUACUUUGUCGGAUGAAGAAAUGAUUAAAAUAAAAGUUUUAGAUCUUGAUGAGUUAUUCAAAUUUGUUGUUGAUAACUUUUUCAGUUG
rnacentral:pre_miRNA from 1 species